ensembl:snRNA U1 U1 spliceosomal RNA
AUACUUACGUUUCAGGAAGGAUACCAGGAUCAUUCAGGUGGAUAUUUCAGGGCUAGGCUUAUCCCUUGUGCUCCAGGAGUACCGACCCCUGAAAUUUUUCAAAUGUCAAAAACUGAAGUGCAUAAUUCAUAGUAGUGGGAUGACUACAUUCCAUCUCU